rnacentral:lncRNA from 1 species
CGAAUCCAAGAACAAAGCUCCCCUUUUUACACAGAAUCUCCCAACGUUCACGCUGCUUCCCUGCUUCAAGAUCAAUUCAAAUCCUCCCCAUUCUUUGCGAUUUAUCCUCAUCUUCUCUCAACCGUGUUCAUCUUCCCAUCGACCUACGGUCCCAUGUCAUCCGUAUCAUCCCAGAUUUCAUCCAAGAGCCAUCCAAGCCUUCUCCGCAUCAUUCCAAUAUCCCACAGAUUAGCUCCCCUGUUCCCAGCUGUCCACAUGUGAGGUCCCAGCAUCCUUAUCCUCUCCUCAUUCCGUGGAUCAGCAUUCCAUCUCCUCCCGGCGACUCAACUCUAUCCCAUGAACAGCCUUCGGAUCAGCUUCAUCCCGAAUUCCAUGGAUUAACAGCUUCCCUUCUUCAUCCAAACUUCCAGCUCAUAUUUCCUCCAUUACCAUUCAGCUCCAUUAACAAAAAAAUCCAAGCUUAUCCCCUGUUUCAUGCGUCUUCUUCUCAGCCGCUUCCCAAACCGAGAU